rnacentral:rRNA from 1 species
UACGGAGGGGGCUAGCGUUGUUCGGAAUUACUGGGCGUAAAGCGUGCGCAGGCGGUUCGCCAAGUCAGGUGUGAAAUCCCCGGGCUUAACCUGGGAAUUGCGCUUGAAACUAGCGGGCUUGAGUGUGGCAGAGGGGGGUGGAAUUCCACGUGUAGCAGUGAAAUGCGUAGAGAUGUGGAGGAACACCGAUGGCGAAGGCAGCCCCCUGGGUCAACACUGACGCUCAUGCACGAAAGCGUGGGGAGCAAACAGG